CCUACGGGGGGCAACAGUAGGGAAUCUUCCGCAAUGGACGAAAGUCUGACGGAGCAACGCCGCGUGAGCGAAGAAGGCCUUCGGGUCGUAAAGCUCUGUUGUUAGGGAAGAACAAGUACCGGAGUAACUGCCGGUACCGUGACGGUACCUAACCAGAAAGCCACGGCUAACUACGUGCCAGCAGCCGCGGUAAUACGUAGGUGGCAAGCGUUGUCCGGAAUUAUUGGGUGUAAAGCGAGCGCAGGCGGUUCCUUAAGUCUGAUGUGAAAGCCCACGGCCCAACCGUGGAGGGNCAUUGGAAACUGGGGAACUUGAGUGCAGAAGAGGAGAGCGGAAUUCCACGUGUAGAGGUGAAAUGCGUAGAGAUGUGGAGGAACACCAGUGGCGAAGGCGGCUCUCUGGUCUGUAACUGACGCUGAGGCGCGAAAGCGUGGGGAGCAAACAGGAUUAGAUACCCUAGUAGUC
rnacentral:rRNA from 1 species